CCAAGGAGUCUAACAUGUGCGCGAGUCGUCGGGUCUUGAACAGGCCCGCAGGUGCAAUGAAAGUGAAGGGUAGGCUUCGCGCCGCCCGCGUUGGGAUCCGGGGUCCGCCGUGUCCCCGGCGCACCAACGGCCCGUCCCUUCCGCAGUGUCGGUGGGACGGAGCGAGAGCGCACACGUUGGGACCCGAAAGAUGGUGAACUAUGCCCGGGCAGGACGAGGCCAGAGGAAACUCUGGUGGAGGUCCGCAGCGAUUCUGACGUGCAAAUCGAUCGUCAGACCUGGGUAUAGGGGCGAAAGACUAAUCGAACCGUCUAGUAGCUGGUUCCCUCCGAAGUUUCCCUCAGGAUAGCUGGUGCUCGAGGGAGUCAGUCUCAUCCGGUAAAGCGAAUGAUUAGAGGCCUUGGGGCCGAAACGACCUCAACCUAUUCUCAAACUUUCAAUGGGUGAGAAGUCCGGUUUACAUGACUGAAGCCCGGACGUUCUCAGGAUGCGAGUGCCCAGUGGGCCACUUUU
rnacentral:rRNA from 1 species